CAGGCCAGGACUCUCCCUCUUCCUCUUCCAAACAUGGCACAAAGAAGCUCUUUAACUGCCUGGGCAGAGAGUUGUUCCUGGAUGCUGGGAGAGCGGAAAGGACUGUCCCACACAGUCUCUCAAGUUUCAUCCGCUCAUUAUGAGUUGCUGAGCAUGAGAAGAUGUUGCUCCAAAAGUGUGAAGUGCUGCCGGGCAUUGGUGGCACACGCCUUUAAUCCCAGCACUCAGGAGGCAGAGGCAGGUGGAUCUCUGUGAGUUCGAGGCCAGCCUGGUCUACAGAGCGAGUUCCAGGACAGUCAGAGCUACACAGAGAAACCUUUUCUCAAAGAACUAAACAAAAAUAACAACAAAAAGUGUGACAUGUUAGACUCGAUGGAUAAAUGCUGAUGAUCUUCUGUAGGGCACUGUGUAGUUCAUGAUCCUGUACUGAGAACUUGACAAUUGAUGAUCUUCUGUAAGGCACUGUGAAUGUGGUUCAUGAUCCUGUAUUGAGAACUUGACAAUUGAUGAUCUUCUGUAAGGCACUGUGAAUGUAGUUCAUGAUCCUGUAUUGAGAACUUGACAAUUGAUGAUCUUCUGUAAGGCACUGUGAAUGUAGUUCAUGAUCCUGUAUUGAGAACUUGACAAUUGAUGAUCUUCUGUAAGGCACUGUGAAUGUGGUUCAUGAUCCUGUAUUGAGAACUUGACAAUUGAUGAUCUUCUGUAAGGCACUGUGAAUGUGGUUCAUGGUCCUGUACUGAGAACUUGACAAUUGAUGAUCUUCUGUAAGGCACUGUGAAUGUAGUUCAUGAUCCUGUAUUGAGAACUUGACAAUUGAUGAUCUUCUGUAAGGCACUGUGAAUGUAGUUCAUGAUCCUGUACUGAGAACUUGACAAUUGAUGAUCUUCUGUAAGGCACUGUGAAUGUGGUUCAUGAUCCUGUACUGAGAACUUGACAAUUGAUGAUCUUCUGUAAGGCACUGUGAAUGUGGUUCAUGAUCCUGUAUUGAGAACUUGACAAUUGAUGAUCUUCUGUAAGGCACUGUGAAUGUAGUUCAUGAUCCUGUACUGAGAACUUGACAAUUGAUGAUCUUCUGUAAGGCACUGUGAAUGUGGUUCAUGAUCCUGUACUGAGAACUUGACAAUUGAUGACUGACCACCCAUAUUGUCAGGGCUUGGGAGGAAGAGGUAGUAGGAGAAUCUUAAGUUCAAGGUCUUCCUUGGCUCUAUUGUGGGUUAGAGGCCAGUCUAGGCUCCAAGAGAUCCUGUCACACACAAGACCAAGAAAGUCACCUUCAAAUAAAAUCUGAAAAACAAACAAAACAAAACCCAACUUAAACCAUAUCAAAACAACAACAAAAAGAAAAAUGAGAAAAUUGCCGAGGAACCCUGCCUAUCAUCUCCUUUCUGCCUUUCCCUUCCUCCUUUACUUUUUCUGACCUAAAAUGUAGGACCUGUAUCAGUGGCUCUGAACCUUCCUAAUGCCGCAGCCCUUUAACACAGUUCCUUAUGUCGUGAGCCCCCACUUACAACAUUUUCAUUGCCACUUCAUAACAGUAAUUUUGCUACAGUAAUGAAUCAUAAUGUAAACAUCUGUGUCUUCCGAUGGUCUUAGGUGACCCCUAGGCUCCCAGGUUGAGAACCACUGUUAGGGAUUGUGCCCGGACUCCAGGGCCAGCUUCCUAGCUCAGAGCCUCACGUCUAGGCAGGUUCUCAACCUGGAAGCCACACCCCCAGCCCCCACAGCUCUAUAGCAGCAGUUUCUUCGCAAGGCUACGGGCGGUGCUGCUUUCAUCUCUCCCCGGUUCAUAGAAGGCGAUUGCCCAUGCUCCAGUAGAUAAGCCCAGUUGUGCACAGUUUCUUCCAAAAUGGAAACAUUCCACCCUAUAGGGAAGCUCCUUAAGCAGAAAGCCAAACAACUCAAACUAGUUCCUGGGAGUCCGUGAAGCUGACCAGAUUCACUGCGACCCUCCCUGCCGGAGUGAACAAUCAAAGGUGGGUGACCAUUUCAGAGAGGAGCCGAGAUGCAGAGUAAAGACGACUCUGGAAAAAGACAGAAACCAGCCGAGCUGCCUGGAAGAGGUUUAUAUCAACCGAGGAACCUGGAAAGGACGCUCUCCAGCCUGCUGAGCUGCCCGCAGGCUGUGCAGUGAGCUCCAGGUCCCCAGCUUUUGUGAGCAGUCACCCAUGCUGGGGUGGGCUUUGUUGGUGCAGCUGUCUCAGAGUCAUUUCUGCUCCCGUAAGUAAUCCUUCACCUACAUUCUUGUAAGUAACCCCAAUACGACUCAUCGGUUCACCAAGUUGGUUCACUUUGGUGGUUCCCUGAAUUGGGAUGAAUAGAUGUGUAUGUUAGGUUUUCCCAGGAAAAGUUUCGUCAAGCCCACACUCAUGCUCAUACAGUCAACCCCAGUCAAACUCAGCGAGUCAUAAGUUGAAAGAAACACUUGCUGAAAGAAAGAAUGAAAAAGAAAAUAAAUCGUUGAGAGACAUUUUAAAUGUUUACCUCACAGGCUAUGAUUACUAACGUGCUAAAUUUUAGGAAUCCACAGCAGGAUCCACAGUGCCACCUAGCGGGAAUAAUCUGAAACUGCAACAGAAUCUACCUCUGAGGCAGCAAUGUCUUGCCUGAAACAUGCUUGGAGAGGGGCCUGACCAGGCUGCCAGGAGGUAUCUAUUAUCUGCCUUAGAGAGCAUCCAGGGGUAAAAGGAAUUCCUUCUCACCAGGGAAUCAGCAGUAGGAGCUGCAGCCUCCGGAUCCCACACUGCACAGCCUUAGUUUUUCCCUUUGAUACAGCAUGAAUUGCAAGUCGCAUGCUCCCAGAGACUUAAGUUUGCCAGGAUGUUUUGCAAGUCAUGUCCACAGGAGAGCCAUGAGGAACCUGAUUUUCUCAAGACCUUCCCGCCUGCUGUCUAGGUCCUAGCCUGGACCCCAAGAGAGCAUUGAGGCCGGAGCUUGAAUGCACUCAAUAGUGCACACUAAUGUUUAUUGGUGCUGAAUUCACCAUAGAAUACACUAAGAAAAUGGAAACAGCUUGCUAUCGACUACCUUGUAUGCUAAUUCACUUAUUUCCAUUAAAACACUUAUGGCUCUCUCUCUCUCUCUCUCUCUCUCUCUCUCUCUCUCUCUCUCUGUGCGUGUGCACGUGCUUGUGUGGAGGUUAGAAGACCUCUUUGUACAGUCUGUUCUCUUCACCUUAUAGGUUCUGGAGACUGAACUCUGGUCAUCUAUCUUGGCAUCUUUACCUACUGAACCAUCUGGCUCAGCCCUUGAAUGCUAAUUUCAACAAGAAAUGUGAAGAAUGGGAGGAGGCCUCUUGGCCAACUUGGAUUUACCACCAUAUUCCUGCCAUGCCUGUAGAGACCCAUCUAAGACUUUGCUCUUUGGCCACAAAGGGAAUGGGUGUCUUGGGCUCUGUAGAAGGCACCGGGUUUGAGUUACAGUAAUUCAAGGAAGGUCGGAGAAAGGAGUAGAAAGAACUGGAUUGCAGGCUGGUCUGACAUAGGCAAAGUGAGAAUCCAGACAGUAACUGCCCUGGAAAUCCCGAUAUCCUCUGUACCCAUGACUUCUUUUUUUUUUUUUUUUUGAGACAGGGUUUCUCUGUAUUGUUUUGAAGGCUGUCCUGGAAUCGGCUCUGUAGACCAGGCUGGCCUCGAACUCACAGAGAUCCACCUGCCUCUGCCUCCCGAGUGCUGGGAUACCCAUGACUUCUUAAUCUGCAAGCUCUAUUUACUGUGAAUUGAAAAUAAUUUUAAAAAGAUUGCACCUGUAACAAUUCCCUCUUGUAAUUAUUCUUCAAAUUGUAUAGAAAAGCAUUUACUCAUACAACAUUUAAAUUGUAAGUCAUCUAGAAAUGAUUUAAACUAUAUGAGAAGAUGUAGAUGGGUUAUAUGUAAUGCGCCUGUUUUGUUUAUAUGGGAGUCUGUGUACACAUUUGGGUGGGUGGAUUUGGGUGCACACAUGCCACAGUGUGCAGAGGACAGUCUUGGGUGUUUGCAGAAAACCAUGGAGUUGGCUUGGCCUAGCUGCCCUGAGAGGCCAUGUGUCAUAAGUUUCUCAAGUUAGAGUUCGUGGCUCCUGAGGCACAAUGUGCCUUCUAGCUCCUGAGAGAACAAUGCACUCCUUCAGGCUGUGAAACAUUCAGGUGUUUCUCUGUAUGUUCCCUUAGUAGUCAAGGAAGCAUGAAGGCUUGACAGGACAAUUGGUCCUAGACAUUAGUGUUGUGUACUCUGUAUACCUUGCAAGCAUCAUUAUAUACUGGCAACAACAACUGUAUUGAUCUUGGCAAUUGCCAUUAUAUUUUGUUUCUAAUAAAGGUAUAUGUUGUGGAGUGUUA